rnacentral:rRNA from 1 species
UACGUAGGUGGCAAACGUUGCUCGGAAUCACUGGGCAUAAAGCGCACGUAGGCGGUCCACUAAGUUCGAUGUGAAAUCCCCCGGCUCAACCGGGGAACUGCAUCGGAUACUGGUGGACUCGAGAGUUGUAGGGGUGGACGGAACUCCAGGUGGAGCGGUGAAAUGCGUAGAUAUCUGGAGGAACACCGGAGGCGAAAGCGGUCCACUGGGCAACUUCUGACGCUGAGGUGCGAAAGCUAGGGUAGCAAACGGG